CCAGACACAAGUCCUCUCGAAGGUUUGUUCUUUAAUAAAUAGUGAAUCAGUUUGAAGCCAGGGAAAUUGAUUUGACUUCAGGAAGUAGAAGCAAACAUUGCCAGUAACCACUAGAGCAUAUAUGUGUUCCUAAUUAGAAGAUCAAGAGUAAUCUGUUAAAGUAGUUGGUUCUUUUAUAGAUUUCAACAAAGACCUUGAAAUCUAACAAGAUUAUGUUUAAUACCCAUAAGCCAAAAUUAGCAUGAAAUGAAAAAUAUAUGAAAAUUAUACUUACUACAUUAUCUUGAGCAGGAGGGAAUUUGUCAUGAAUCAAUUUUUAGUAGUAAAUAUUAUUAAACAAAGCAAUGUUCAGUUUAAUCAAAGAACAUUCAGGGCCCUGUAGUCCCAAAAAAAAGUAUUACAUUUUAAUGUGUAUUGCCUAAAAUCAACUCUAGAAAGUAUUUCCUGUUGUGAUUUAGUAUUUUAGUUUCUAAUUUGUAAUUAGUCUUUUAGAAUAAAGUAUAUGGUCCCUACUGUUAAGAAAAAUAUGCCUUUCUUUUUUUCUUCAGCAAUAGUAGACGUCGCCAUGAAAGUG
rnacentral:lncRNA from 1 species